rnacentral:rRNA from 1 species
CCUACGGGAGGCAGCAGUGAGGAAUAUUGGUCAAUGGGCGCGAGCCUGAACCAGCCAAGUAGCGUGAAGGAUGACUGCCCUACGGGUUGUAAACUUCUUUUAUAAAGGAAUAAAGUGAGGCACGUGUGCCUUUUUGUAUGUACUUUAUGAAUAAGGCUCGGCUAAUUCGGUGCCAGCAGCCGCGGUAAUACGGAGGAUCCGAGCGUUAUCCGGUUUUAUUGGGUUUAAAGGGAGCGUAGAUGGGUUGUUAAGUCAGUUGUGAAAGUUUGCGGCUAAACCGGAAAUUGCAAUUGAUACUGGCAGUCUUGAGUACAGUAGAGGUAGGCGGAAUUCGUGGUGUAGCGGUGAAAUGCGUAGAUAUCACGAAGAACUCCGAUUGCGAAGGCAGCUUACUAAACUGCCACUGACAUUGAUGCACGAAAGCGUGGGUAUCGAACAGGAUUAGAUACCCGAGUAGUC